UCCCUCUUCUCCUUCAACUCGUAGCCACGCCACUUACUCACGCUCGCUGUUGUCCGUCGUCUCCUUCGCGCCACCAUCAUCAUCGUGCCCUUCCCCGUCUCCAUUCUUCAAGUGGCCCUUGUCUUCACCUUCUCGGUCUCGUGUUAUUGGCCAACUUUAAACCCUAACUUUCUCCAUUCUCGUUUUGCUUGCCAGAGUCUAUCAGUUCAUUCUUUAGUGGUGGUAUUUAGCUUUGCUGUGUCUUGGAGUGCGUUCAUGUUGAUCGGGGUGGCAGUUCCAUUCUUGUCGCUUCGUUUCAGCAAUUGUUCUCAUGGUGAGAUUGAGAACAAUUAGAUUAGGGAUUUUGCGAUGAACAUUGUGCCCUUCAGGUGUGGCUCGUUGCUGUCAUCCCUUACAUGAUUUUUUUUUUUUAUUAUUCGCACCCAAAUUUUUGUUAGCAAUAUUAUAUCGCAUUUUAGUUAAUUUGGCAAAACUUCCUCAACUUCCUCUUACUGUGUUUCUCGCUUGUGAUUGCUUCCUUCCUUCCUCACCUGAACUGCUUAUUCCGCUAAUUCCCCCUCUGCUGCCUCUCUAUUUUGUACAAUGUUUUGAUUCACUCAUUCUGGAAUUUCUCUAACAUGGUUUUGCCUGAUUUUACUUUCAAUGGUUGUCUUUUCUUCAUUUCGACAAGUAAUUUUCCGUAGUAGACCCCGUUAUUUGCUUGCUUUUUUUUUUUUGAUUUUUUCCUGGGAAAUGUGUCUACUACUUUCGUUCUUUGUCCCACAAUUUUAUUUUUAGAUUGAAAAUGGUGCUGAAAAAGAAAUUUCUUGCCUUUUUCUAUGGAUUCUCUAAUUGGCAGAAACGAAAAAUGUUGAUAGACUAUGGUGGUUAAAAUUUUGCAACUGUUGAAAGUAUAAUCACCACUGGUAAUUUAUCCUGUCACACUUGUCUUAAGUUUACCUAUGCUUUUGUUCACGAGUGGGAUCUUUCUGAUAACGGUCAAACUUGUUUGGCAGUAUUUAAGUUUGUGAAGCCCCCAGAGAACGAUGAGAAGCCGAUUGAUCAAAAGAGCAGGGUUAAGUUGAAAAUUAUGAGUUUAAAAGUGAAAGGAGAAAUGGAUCUGAAGAGCAAAGCGAUCAAGUAACAGUGGAGCAAAUUCUGCGUGUUGUUUUCCUAGAUCCUGAAUGUCCUAGCCCUGUAGGAUAUAAUCCCAAAUAUGUCAUGUGACCUCUAUCAUUUAUGUCUGCAGCUAUCAUUUGUGUCUGCAAAUCUGUAUUUGUGGCUCCUCUUGUCUAUGCUUUCAUGGGAAGCUCAAGAGAUUCAGCCAUAGUACCAGUGGCUGUGGUAUACCUUUUACUUGGUACACCCUUGACACAGUAUAUGACUCCCAAAUACAUAUUCUUCUUUCUUGAUCUGCCUGAAUUCUGGUUAAAAAGCCACUUCAAUUCUAAAGUUUGAACUUUUAGAUGAAGGUUCGGAAUAGUAAUAUCUUUGUCAUGCCCACUCACACAAGCCCUUUGCACUUGAAGUGUGGAAACUUAAUUUUUUUUUUUUUAGUCUAAUUGUUUUUCCUUUUUGAGUGGUGAGGACAUGAUCAUGGAAACUCUAGUACUGUUUCAAGAAUCCCUUCAAUUUAAACUUCUAGGCUGUUUGACAUCUAUAACAACUUUGAACAUGUUUGGUGCUGUCAAUCUAUGAGAAUUUUUGCAGGCUUGGUUUCUUGAUUGACUUCUUACCUCACGCUGCCAUUGUGGGCUUUACAGCAGGAGCUGCUGUUACUAUAGCCUUGCAGCAGCUUAAAGGACUCGCCUGGAAUGUCGUGAAGCCUGUGUGGACAAGGUUGUAAAACUGAAAAUCAUGUUUGAUCAUUUGAAGGUUGAAUAAGAUCUGCAGUCUACUUUUGAGGGGGACAACCAUGUUAUGAUGCAGCAGGUACAAUUACUGUUGAUUAUGAGAUGCUAUUUUUAGCAUAAUUUUUCAUACCCUAAAAGUUAUUUGUUGUGAUGGUGAAGUAAUGAAGUAUGGCUGUGAAGGUUUCAUAUACUACUUUAGUACCCAACAGAGACAAAAUAAUUCUUAGCCUAGGCUAAUAGUUUAAAACUUAGGCUUUUUUUGGUAUAUUGACAGAAAUGAAUAUAUUUGAUUUAUUCUUAAAUUAUAUUAUCUAGUUUAUACGUGAUAUUUUUAAAAGAAAACUAAUUUACUACAAAAUCUAUCAAAAUUUAUGUGAUAACCAAAGAAAAAAAAAAAAUAGAGGCAUUUUUUUCGGAUUGGAGGUGAUUUGAUUUAAAAUAGGUGAUUUGAUAAAUUUGAUAAAAAAUAGGUGAUUUGAUUUAUAUAUAAUCAAAUCACCUUCAAUCCAAAAAAAUGACCUAUUUUUUUAAAUGCUAUUUUCUAAAUUGGUUGUAACUUAGAUAAGGUUUAAUUUAGAAAUUUUACUUUCUAAACUGGUUCUAGUUACAAUUGGCUUAGAAAGUCUUGGACUUUCUAAACUGCCCUUGUCUAAACCAGUUCCAGAAUCGAUUCAGAAAGCCUUUUUAAACUGCUUUACAAAUAUCUUUUUGUACUAGUGAUUAGUGCAAAUAUUGAAAAGAAUGUUCAUUAAGUUGUUGCUAAUUAUAUUUGUUAACUAGAUAAUAUGGAAUUAAAAAAAAAAACAUACUGAGUUUUUCCUCAUAUGAAGUGAUUGUAGCUGCAUAUAGAUUUAGUGUGUGUUCAAUUUUUAGUUUACAUCUAGAAAAAGCAUAUUUAAGGGAUUCAACUAUUUGUUGGAUUUAGCAAAAGUAUAUCCCAGAUGUGAUUUGAAUAUACUUUUGGGAAUUACCCAAAUAGGCCAUUAGUUUUCUAUCAACACACUUUAUGAAAAAAGAGAACACCCAUAACUUUUAAAAGAGUCUUAAUUCAUGAAAUAUGGAAGUUUAUAAGAUAGGAUUUUUCUAAGACGAUUAAUAAGAUUAUUCAUAAUUUCUUACUUUCCAAGGAGCAGAAUGUGGUAAUGAUUUUUCCGAAAUUAUUUUUACAAUGAUUUAAUAUGAUUAUGGCUUUUAGAAACUUAAUGGUGGACUUGUAUGGAGACCACACACUUUUAUAUAAUUUUAUCUUAAGUAAGUAAGGAUGAAUGAGAAGAACGAAUAUUUCUAGCUCAAGAUACAAAUUAUUAUAGUAAGAGCAUAAAAACUGGAUUUUUGUAUGGGUAGCAUAUAGUUGUUUUCGUAAAGAAUAAGCUGUAUUGAUUGGUAAAGUAAAAGGCCAUCCUAUUAUUUUUCAUUAAAGGAGUACUCUAUAGAUUUGAAAUGAGUCAAGGAUCUGCUAAAAAUGAUGUGUCUAACAUUUAAUAUGAAUUUUCAAUUUCAAAUAAACCAAUACCAUGAUUUUUAAUUAACCAUCAAGUAUGUCCAUAUAUAAAUUUGACGGUUAUUUUAUAAUAACCAUUAAAUAAUUAUGGUAUAUUUUUACUGAACCAAGAGCUGGUAUUUACUAAAAUUACUUGACGGUUAUUAUGAAAUAACUGUCUAAUAUAUGAGAUAUUUGAUGGUUAUUUCGAAAUAACCGACAAGCAUUGUUUUCAAGGAAUCAACAAAUGCCAAACCUGAAAACCUUUACUUGAUGGUUGUUUUCAAAUAACUUUCAAGUAAGAGCCUCCCUUAUUUGAUGGUUAAUAACCCAUUAAGUAAAAGGGCUUUUAGUAUAUGACAUCACUUUAAUUGGUGGUUAAAAACUGUCAAAGAAGGUAAAAAAUAAUAGUGAACUUUGGUCUUUUUUGCAGUAGUGAUGAAAUAGCACAAUUGUGUAAAUAUUAAACAAACAAUAUGCAAAAUUAAUAGAAUAAUUGUUUGAGAAAAUUCUCUAAUUAACACUGCGAUAUUUUAUUGGCCAUUAUUUUGGCACAUGGGUUGGAUAUGUACAUAAAAUGGGUGUAGUAAAAAUAUCAAUAGAAUUCCAGAGACAAGGAAUGAAAUAGGAAAUAUAGGCAAUGUACAUAAAAUGGUUUAUCCCCCCCCCCCCGGACCGGGUUUUUUUGGGUGGGGAUCUUAGAGACUAUCAGACAAUAUCUCUUUAAUCUCUUAAGAGAGCCUUCAGGAUCAUAGUAUGGGCCAUGCUUUUUUCGGUAACAUAUUUCAACUUAAUCAUUUUCCACCAUAUAGUGGUGGCGUGAAUGACCAAUACCAUGUA